CUGAGGAUCUUACAAGGCUUGGAGGUCAAGCAGCCAGGUACCGAGACAAAGACCUAGAGCAGCUGGCCACUCCGAAGCAGACCAGGUUGGAUUUGAACUUGCAAUUCUGUGAAGAGCUGCUGGAUCAGUGGUUCUCAACCUAUGGGUCACCUAAGACCACAUGCAUAUCAGCCCAAAGUGGAAGGCUUGGGGAGAUGAAGCAUCCGGAUACAUGGAGACAAAUGCUACCAUGAAGUGGGCUAUCAGGCUCUCCAGGUACCAGGAGGUGGUGCUGAGGACAGCAGAGGACUCCGGUGACUCCCAGACUUCCUGGGAGUUCUUGUUUCCCAAGCAGCCAUCACUAUCAUCUCGAGGCAACAGGAGUAGAAAUGGAAAGGACCAGACUUGGCCUCACCUGCUGAAGUUGGCUGCCCAGAGACUGACCCAGCAGGUUCAAGAGUGGGGUGCUUAUUUUGGGGGCAUGGGGUGGGGGUGGGUGGAGCCAUCUGUGGUUGAAGGCAGUAAGGUAUGUAGGCCAGAGGUUUCCUAGGAGACUUGCUUGGCCUUUCCUGUCUGGGCCCCUCCAGAUGCUACUGUUCAAUGCCACAGCAUAAGGUUAAGGUUAGCCUGGUGCUCUUACAGAGUUCUGCCUCUCGGCUGGUCCCCUCUUCAGGACAAUGGCACAGCCUCUAUUUGCUAGGUCCCCCACGAUCCACCCAAGCUCUCUUAUAGCUUCCACUUACAUGUUCUGGGCUAGUCCUCCAAAUGUGUCUGGUGAGAAUCUUAUAGUGUGACCAGUAUGACCUCACUCUUCCAUGGGGACUUCAAGGCUGACCUCCCAUGCCCAGUCACCCAUCUGCAAGCCCAUUCAUUUGCCACUGUGCUCAGCGCAGCCCCAGAUCCUUACAUUCAGCCUGGGCGAUGAUGGAGAUGGCGGAUGGCCCGCCCUCGGAACCUUCCUUGGCUGUGCCUUUAGUAAUAACGUCAUUCAGGAUCUCCCACUUCCCACAGAACACGGGGCUCUUCUCCACAGCCUCAAGCUUGUAGAUGCAGCUCUGUUUCUUCCCUAGUGACUGUGUCUUCUCCUUGGCUUUAGCGAGCUCCUUCUGCUGCCCAACUGCUGAGCCAGGAGAGCCUGGGCAGGCCACUUCCAUCACUGCCAUCUCCUAGGCUCGUGCUCACCUUGAGGGGGUCAAACACAGACCAGGUCACUCCAAAUCCCAGACCCCAUGUAGACGUUAGGCACAGGUUGGAGGGGAAAUACAUGUGUGUGUGGGGGGCACACUGGAAGGUUCCUGAUUCUUUAUGUCAAGUGUAUCAUUCUCCAAACACCCUGAGUAGUGAUGAAGCCAACCUCACAACAUUUACAAGCAUUUCAUUUGUGGGACCCCUGGUCUACUGCACUGCAGUGUAAAUGGAUUGCUCUGCUGGGCCUGCAGAGAGACGGGAGUCAUUUUCCUCAGUGGUGUAGCCACUGGUACAUUGUCCAUGCUCCAAUUAAUAAACCCACACCCAUGCUCAUGCAAACGAUCCUAGUUAAUCUCAUGCAGCAUGUGCGUGCAUGUACACACACACCAGAGAGAGGGAGAGGGAGAGAGAGAGAGAGAAGCAAGAGGGAGGGGGAGAGGAAACGAGAGAGAUAAGAAGAUAACGGGUGAGCUGAACAGAUGGCACAGUUAGAGCACUUGCUACUCUUGCAGAGGACAAGGAUUUGGUUCUGAGCACCCAAAGGCAGCUCACGACUAUUUGGAACUACAGUUCCAGGGAUCCAGUGCCCUCUUCUGGCCUCCAUGGGCACUGCACACAUAUAUACAUAAAGGCUAAACAUUCAAUACACAAAAAUAAUUUUAAUUUUUAAAUUACUAUAUUAUUUUUUUUGAGACAAGGUUUCUCAGUGUCGUCCUGUCUGUCUUGGAUCUUACUCUGUAAGGCUGUCCUUGAACUCACGGACAUCUACCUGCCUCUGCCUCCUGAGUGCUUAAAGGUGUGUGCCACCAUCACCACUGGCCUAAAUAUAUUUCUUUUAAAAGAGGGCAAUGGUGUGAAUAUUAUCAAAAUACAUUAUAUGCAUAUAUGAAAUCAUCAAAGAGCAAAAUAAAAAUAGGUUUUAAAGAAGAGUCCACCUUCCCCUGCGGACAGCUGUGACAUGGAAUUGGAACUGGACUUUUGCCUCUACAAUGACUAAGCCUCCUCCUAUUGUUUGGAAAACUUUGUUUCCUCAGGACAGGGCAGUGAAUCUUAUCUUCUAUUGCCAUCACCUCACAGACCCCAGGGAUACCUUGCCUUCACAGAAGGCACUAGAGUGGCUCUUUUUCCAAAGGAGAAAUCAAGGUUUGGAUUUGUUUAAAUCAGGGACAGAUACAUGUAGUCACGUGCCAUUUAAUGAUGGGGAUACAUUUUGAGAAAUGUGUCUCCAGGAAAUUUUAGCAUUGUGUGAGUGUCACAGAGUGCAUUAUGACAUCAUCAGGGGAGACAAAGCGGUAUGGACCCAGCGGUACAUGCAGUCUCAUUGUGGUCAAAACACUGUCAUGAAAUGCAUGGCUUUAUAUGAAUAUGUGUGCAUAAAUGUUACAAUGCUAUUAUUCAGCCUAAAAAUGGGGCUCAACACUUGGCUCCUUUCCAAUGA